rnacentral:rRNA from 1 species
CGGGGGGGUAAGCGUUGUCGGAAUUACGUGGGCGUAAAGGGCUCGUAGGCGGCCAACUAAGUCAGACGUGAAAUCCCUCAGCUUAACUGGGGAACUGCGUCUGAUACUGGAUGGCUUGGAUUCGGGAGAGGAAUGCGGAAUUCCAGGUGUAGCGGUGAAAUGCGUAGAUAUCUGGAGGAACACCGGUGGCGAAGGCGGCAUUCUGGACCGACAUUGACGCUGAGGAGCGAAAGCCAGGGGAGCAAACGGGAUUAGAUACCCCGGUAGUCCUGGCCCUAAACGAUGAAUGCUUGGUGUAGCGGGUAUCGAUCCCUGCUGUGCCGAAGCUAACGCAUUAAGCAUUCCGCCUGGGGAGUACGGUCGCAAGGCUG